AUUGAACGCUGGCGGCAGGCCUAACACAUGCAAGUCGAGCGAGCGGCGGACGGGUGAGUACUGUCUGGGAAACUGCCUGAUGGAGGGGGAUAACUACUGGAAACGGUAGCUAAUACCGCAUACCAUCAGAUGUGCCCAGAUGGGAUUAGUUAGUAGGUGGGGUAACGGCUCACCUAGGCGAAGAUCCCUAGCUGGUCUGAGAGGAUGACCAGCCACACGGGAACUGAGACACGGUCCAGACGCCCAGGGGAGGCAGCAGUGGGGAAUAUUGCACAAUGGGCGAAAGCCUUAUGCAGCAAUGCAGGGUGUGUGAAGAAGGCCUUCGGGUUGUAAAGCACUGUCAGCGGGGAGGCGUUACCCGCAGAAGAAGCACCGGCGAAAUCCGUGCCAGCAGCCGCGGUAAUUC
rnacentral:rRNA from 1 species